GGCACAAGUGAUGAACAGCAAAGGGACUUAAUACUGAAACCCGAUGUUGCAUUGUAAUGUGCUGAUGUGC
ensembl:snoRNA SNORD82 Small nucleolar RNA SNORD82